CCUACGGGGGGCUGCAGUAGGGAAUAUUGCGCAAUGGGGGAAACCCUGACGCAGCAACGCCGCGUGAGUGAGGAAGGUCUUCGGAUUGUAAAACUCUUUUCUUAGAGAAAAAUGUCUUAAUUGCUAAUAGUAGUUAUGAGUGAUGGUAUCUAAGGAAUAAGCACCGGCUAACUUCGUGCCAGCAGCCGCGGUAAUACGAAGGGUGCAAGCGUUGUUCGGAUUUAUUGGGCGUAAAGCGCGCGCAGGCGGAUUGGCAAGUCAGGUGUGAAAUCUCG
rnacentral:rRNA from 1 species